AGUUGGGGGCAUCAGUAUUCUGAAGCGAGAGGUGAAAUUCUUGGACCUUCGGAAGACUAACAACUGCGAAAGCAUUUGCCUAGGAUGUUCUCUUUAAUCAAGAACGGAAGUUGGGGGAUCGAAGACGAUCAGAUACCGUCGUAGUCUCAACUAUAAACUAUGCCAGCUAGGGAUUGGUGGACGUUUAUCUACGACUCCAUCAGCACCUUAUGAGAAAUCAAAGCAUUUGGGUUCCGGGGGGAGUAUGGUCGCAAGGCUGAAACUUAAAGGAAUUGACGGGAGGGCACCACCAAGAGUGGAGCCUGUGGCUUAAUUUGACUCAACACCGGAAAACUUACCAGGUCCGGACAUAGUAAGGAUUGACAGAUUGAUAGCUCUUUCUGAUUCUAUGGGU
rnacentral:rRNA from 1 species